GGCACAUUUAUGUAACCAAACAAGCAUUUGUUUCGUACCAAAGUCCAUACAUAUCCCCAUCCCCAAGUCUUAAAUCCUGUAACAACAAACGACACCAUGACAGAAGACGGUCGAUCUAGGGUUUCCAUUCCCGAACCUCCAUCUGCAACCGAUUCAUCCCAUACAAAACAAAGGAAAAAGAGGAAAUGGGAUCAGCCUGCUGAGUGUUUGGUUUCAGCUGGAUUAACUGUUCCUGGUGUUCUUCCAUUGGGUAAUAUGGGAGGCUAUGUCGGGCCCGUGUAUCCCGGUGUUGCUCCGGUUUCGACUGCGGGGUUGGUGAAUCCUGUUACUGGUUGUUAUGGGAAUUUGCAGCAGGUUCCUGUGGCGCCGUUGAUGCCGCUGCAUGCUUCCUUGCUGGCUCAAAAGAUUCAACCGAAGAUUCAGGAGGAGUUAAUUGCAAGAGAGAUUGUAAUAAAUGAUGCAGAAUCGUCUGUGCGGUACAGGCUCACGAAACGACAAACACAAGAGGAGAUACAAGUAUGCACUGGUGCCAUAGUGAUAACUAGGGGUAAAUAUCGGCCACCAAACGCACCAUCUGACGGUGAAAAAUCGUUAUAUCUUCACAUUUCAGCUGGCACUCAUUUGGAAUCAACAGCAGACAGGAUAAAAGCAGUCGAUCAGGCAGCUGCCAUGGUAGAGGAAAUCUUGAAGCAGGGUCCUCUAACUAACGGAUUAAAGGUGGUUCAACCAUUUAGUACAUGUGUGUUCUUAGGCUUUGAACCAGACCCCUCGUUGAAUAUCACCGCUCGUAUCCGUGGACCAAAUGAUCAGUAUGUAAAUCACAUUAUGAAUGAAACAGGAUCAAAAGUGUUAUUAAGAGGGCGUGGUUCAGGAAAUUUAACAACAAAUGUCGAAGAACAACAGUCCUUACAUCUCUUUUUGUCAAGUAGUAAUCCUAAAAGCCUCGAACACGCAAAGCUUCUGGCUGAGAAUCUUCUAGAUACAAUAUGUGCAGAAUGUGGUGCCUCUAGGGUAUCGUCGGUUAAGGUUUACGGUGCUGUCCCACCACCACAGAAGUUGUUGGCAGGGGUCCCGAAUCCGACUGCUGACUUGGAAACCCCUGCCAGCUCAGCAACAUCAACCGCAGGAUAUGUUCUACCCCCAGCAACUUCUUUGGUUACAUACCCUGGCACCACCCCUGUUGUUUCACAUGGUACGAGCUAUAACGGAUAUGGGGGAAUAUAUCCACAAGCAACGCCUUUGCAACAAGUUGCCUUGGCGCUUAAACAAGUAACUUCUCCCGUCACUUCUACAGUUUCCGUUAGCCAAAAAAUUGGAAACACCACCGCAAGCACCGUUUCUGAGAAGGAAAAACAACCCGCUCACAAGCGCAAGUUUCAGGAAGGGCCCGUUAAAACACAUCAGGUAUUUUCUCUGACCUUGUAUGAAGUUUACUGCUGAUAGUGGACCUGUGUGUUGGCCAUUUGUGUUUUCACAGGGUUUAUAAAUGCGUAGGAAGUUUCAAGACUGUUGCCGCUUUGGUGCUUUUAUGUUUUAACUGGGAUUUACCAAUUCAGUCCGCUUCAUAAAUAAUUAGUUAAUUCAGUCAAUAAUAAUCUAUGUUUCUGAAUAAAAUAACUUUGUUUAUUAUUGAUCUUAUUUUUUUGUCGAUUAACGGAUCAUUGAGAAUCCUAUUGGAUUGUGUGCUUAUGACGUGUCACAGGAAUCAGGAAUCUUAAACCCGAGUGAAGUGACAUCAUCAAUUCCAGCUCCAAAGAAGCUGGUCAAACCCGCAUCCAAUGGCAUGAUGCCGCCACCUUCUCCGAGGACCAUGCCCCCGCCUCCACCAAGGACACCGGCCCCACCACCUCCACGAUUCGAAUCAUCGGUUUCCGUCACAAAGGCGGUGGAGGUGAAGAGCCCCUCCGAACCAGACACCAAAUCAGUGCCUGAAACGUUAAUAAGUCUUAUGGAAUAUGGAGAUGAGGAUGACGAUGAAGAUGAAGAGACCCCUGAAGAUCCCGUAACAAAAGGUUCGAAGUCAUUGUCGGCUUCUAAACCUUUCUGGGCCGUGUGAAACUGUAGGUGCUUGCUUGUAUUUUAACUGCUAAUUUCAAUGUCCACACACUGAUGUCUUUUUAACUUGAGCAUCAAGAAGUUGGGCUAAUGGCAAACUCAACUUGAUUAGAGCAGAACACAAAAUGUAUAACCCACACCAGUUAUGCCACGCUUCACAACAAUAGCGCGGCUGCUUUUUUUUUUUUAUUACUUCUUUGGUAGUUUUGCAUCGGUAUUUCUACUUGCUUGAUGAACAUCAAUAGUAUAUAAGCUUAAGAUGA